ensembl:lncRNA
AUGACACAGGACAGCCCAGGAUGACACAGGACACCCAAGGAUGACACACGACACCCCAGGAUGACUCGGGAUUCCCCAGGAUGGCUCAGGAAAUCUUCGGAAGGCUCAGGAUACCCAAGGCUGUCAUAGGAUACCCCAGGGUGGCACAGGACACCCCAGGCUGACACAGGACACACCAGGGUGACUCAGGACACCCCACGAUGACACAGGACACCCCAUGCUGACAUAGGACUCCCCAGGCUGACUCACUACAACCCCAGAUGACUCAGGACAACCCAGGAUGACAGAGGACACCCCAGGCUGAUUAAGGACAUCUCAGCGAGACACACGACACUCCUGGCUGACUCGGGACACCCCAGAAUGACUCAGGACACCCCAGGAUGACAGAGGAUAACCCAGGCUGAUUAAGGACAUCUUAGGGAGACACAUGACACCCCAGGCUGACUCAGGACACACCAGGCUGUCACAGGACACCCCACGAUGUCUCAGGACACCCCAGGAUGACAAAGGACAACUUAGGCUGGCACAGGACAGACCAGGCUGGCACAGGACACCCCACGCUGACACAUGACCCCCCAGGAUGACUCAGGAUUCCCCAGAUAGCUCAGGACAUCCCAGGAUGACAAAGGACACCCCAGGAUGACACAGGAGAACACAGGAUGACUCCAGACAUCCAAGGAUGACACAGGACAUCCACAGCUGACAAAAGACACCCCAUGCUGACUCAGGAUAGGCCAGGCUGACACAGGACACAACAGGCAGUAUCAGGACACCCCAGCAUGACACAGAACACCCCUGGCUUUCCCAGGACAUGAUAGGAUGACUCAGUACACCCCACAUUGACACACGAAUCCACAGAAUGACUCAGGACACCCCAGGCUGACACUGGACCCCCAAGGAUGACACAGGACAGCCCAGGAUGACACAGGACACCGCAGGAUGACACAGGAUUCCCCAGGAUGGCUCAGGAAAUCCUAGAAUGGCUCAGGAUACCCAAGGCUGUCACAGCAUACCCCAGGGUGGCACAGGACACCCCAGGCUGACACAGGACACCCCAGGCUGGUUCAGACACCCUAGGAUGACACAGGAUACCCCAGGUUGAUUAGGGACAUCUCAGGGAGACACAUGACACUCCUGGCUGACUCAGGAGACCCCAGGAUGUCUCAGGACCAACCAGGCUGACACAGGACACCCCAGGAUGACACAGGACACUCCAGGCUGACUCAGAAAACCCCAGGCUUUCUCAGGACAACCCAGGAUGAGUCAGGACACCCCAGGGUGGCUCCAGACACCCCAGCAUGGCUCAGGACACCACAGGCUGAACCAGGAUACCCCAGGUUGACACAGGCCACCCCAGGCUGACUUUGGACACUCCAGAGUGACACAGGACACUCCAGCAUGACUCAGGAGAUCCCAGGAUGACUCAGGAGACCCCAGGAUGACUCAGGACACCCAAGUCUGGUACAGGACACAACAGGAUGACACAUGACACCCAGGCAUACACAGGACAUCUUAGGCUGACUCAGGACUACCAAGGAUGACACAGGACACCCCAGAGUGACACAGAACAUCCCAGGCUGAGUCAGGACAACAUAAGAUGAUUCAGGACACCCCAGGAUGGCAUUGGACACUCUGGGAAGACACAGGAAAACCGAGGAUGACACAGGACACCCAGUCUUACGCAGGAAAUCCUAGGAUGACUCAGGAGACACCAGCAUGACUCAGGACAACCCAGGAUGUCACAAGACACCCCACGCUGACACAGGACACCCCAGGAUGACACAGGACUCCCCAGGCUGAUGCAGGACACCCUUGAAUGACACAUGAUACCCCAGAAUGACUCAGCACAUCUGAAGAUGGAUCAGAUCACCCCAUGCUGACACAGGACACCCCAAGAUGACUCUGCACAACCCAGGCUGAAACAGGAUACCCCAGGAUGACUCAGGACAAACAAGGAUAACCCAGGACACCCCAGGAUGACUCAGGAGACCCCAGGAUGACUCAGGAGACCCCAGGAUGACACUGGACACCCAAGUCUGGGACAGGACACUACAGGCUGACACAGGACACCCCAGCCUUACACAGGACAUCUUAGGCUGACUCAGGAGACCCAAGGAUGACACAGGACACAUGAGGCUGACUCAGGAUACCUGAUGUUGACACAGGACACCCCAGGAUGACUCUGGACACCUAGGGUGGCUCAGGACACCACAGACUGUCUCAAGAAACACCAGGCUGACACAGGACACCCGAGGAUGCUACAGGACAGCCCAGGAUGACUCAGGGCAGCCCAGUAUGACACAGGACACAACAGGAUGACACAGGACACCCCAGGAUGACAAAAACAACCCAGGCUGACUCAAGACACACCAGGAUGACUCAGGGCAACCCAGGCUGACAAAGGACAACCCAGGCUCACAAAGGACACCCCAGGCUGACACAGGACACCCCCGGGUGUCCAGGAUACAUGAGGCUGACUCAGCACACCCCAGGCUGACGCAGGACACAACAGGAUGAUUCUGGACACCCGAGGGUGACUCAGCACUAUCCAGGAUGACACAGGACACCCAGGGAUGACUCAGGAAAUCCCAUAAUGACAAAGGAUAAUCUAAGGAUGACAUGGAUACCCCAGAUUAACACAAGACACCCCAGACUGUCAUAGGACACACCAGGAAGACGGAGGACACCCCAGGAUGACACAGGACAACCCAGGAUGACACAGGACACCCCAGGAUGACUCAGGACACCCCAGGCUGUCAGAGGAUACACCAGACUGAGUCAGGUCACCUCACACUGGCACAGGACACUGGAGGAUGACACAGGAAAACCCUGGCUGACUCACGACACCCCAGGCUGACUAAGGACUCCCCAGGAUGACUCAGGACACCCCAGGCUGACUUAGGACAACCCAGGAUGACACAUGACACCCCAGGAUGACACAGGACACACCAGGAUGACUCAGGACACCCAGGAUGACACAGGACACCCAGUCUUACACAGGACACCCCAGGAUGACUCAGGACACCCCAGGCUGACACAGGAUGCCCUAGGAUGACACAGGACACUCCAGCAUUAAUAUUGACACCCCAGGCAAUCUCAGGACACCCCGAGUAAUUCAGGACACCCCAAGCUGACACAGAACAACCCCAGCCGACUCAGGACAGUCCAGGAUGACUCAGGACAUCUCAGGAUCACUCAGAAAGCCCCAGGCUGACACAGGACACCCGAGUCUGUCACAGGAGAGACCAAGGUUGCACAGGACACCCCAGGUUGAUUCAGAGACCCCAGGCUGACUCAGGACAAACCAGGCUUUGACAGGACACCCUAGGAUAUCUCAGGACACCUCAGCAUGGCUCAGGACAUGCUGGCUGACUCAGGACACUCCAGGCUGAUUCAGACACCACAGGCUGACACAGGACACCCAGGGAUGACUCAGGACACCCCAGGAUGACACAGGACACCAAAGGCUGACACAGGAUACCCCAGGCUGACCCAGGACAACCCAGGAUGACACAGGACAC